AUUGAACGCUGGCGGCAGGCUUAACACAUGCAAGUCGAGCGGAGAUGAGGUGCUUGCACCUUAUCUUAGCGGCGGACGGGUGAGUAAUGCUUAGGAAUCUGCCUAUUAGUGGGGGACAACAUUCCGAAAGGAAUGCUAAUACCGCAUACGCCCUACGGGGGAAAGCAGGGGAUCUUCGGACCUUGCGCUAAUAGAUGAGCCUAAGUCGGAUUGGCUAGUUGGGGGGGUAAAGGCCUACCAAGGCGACGAUCUGUAGCGGGUCUGAGAGGAUGAUCCGCCACACUGGGACUGAGACACGGCCCAGACUCCUACGGGAGGCAGCAGUGGGGAAUAUUGGACAAUGGGCGGAAGCCUGAUCCAGCCAUGCCGCGUGUGUGAAGAAGGCCUUUGGUUGUAAAGCACUUUAAGCGAGGAGGAGGCUACCUGGAUUAAUACUCUAGGAUAGUGGACGUUACUCGCAGAAUAAGCACCGGCUAACUCUGUGCCAGCCGCCGCGGUAAGAC
rnacentral:rRNA from 1 species